GACGAACGCUGGCGGCGUGCUUAACACAUGCAAGUCGAACGAAGUGGCGAACGGGUGAGUAACGCGUAAUAAACAUGCCCUUCAGAGGGGGACAACAGUUGGAAACGACUGCUAAUACCGAAUACUGAAGGAGGGGAUUGAGUCUGAUUAGGUGGUUGGAGGGGUAACGGCCCACCAAGGCGAUGAUAAGUAGCCUGUCGGAGCUGAUGAACGGCCACAUUGGGACUGAGACACGGCCCAGACUCCUACGGGAGGUAGCAGUGGGGAUUUUGCCGCAAUGGACGAAAGUCUGAUGGCGCCACGCCGCGUGAGUGAUGACGGCCUUCUGGUUGUAAAGCUCUGUUAAUCGGGACGCGGUACCGGAAUAGAAAGCCACGGCUAACUACGUGCCAGCAGCCGCGGUAAUAC
rnacentral:rRNA from 1 species